GAAUUGUUCGCAAUGGGCGCAAGCCUGACGACGCAACGCCGCGUGGAGGACGAAGAUCUUCGGGUCGUAAACUCCUGUCGAGCGGGAAGAACGCCUUCGGGGCGAAUAGCUCCGAGGGUUGACGGUACCGCUAAAGGAAGCCCCGGCUAACUCCGUGCCAGCAGCCGCAGUAAUACGGGGGGGGCAAGCGUUGUUCGGAAUUACUGGGCGUAAAGGGCUCGUAGGCGGCCAACUAAGUCCGACGUGAAAUCCCUAGGCUCAACCUAGGAACUGCGUCGGAUACUGGAUGGCUUGAAUUCGGGAGAGGGAUGCAGAAUUCCAGGUGUAGCGGUGAAAUGCGUAGAUAUCUGGAGGAAUACCGGUGGCGAAGGCGGCAUCCUGGACCGACAUUGACGCUGAGGAGCGAAAGCUAGGGGAGCAAAC
rnacentral:rRNA from 1 species